AUUGAACGCUGGCGGCAGGCCUAACACAUGCAAGUCGAACGAGUGGCGGACGGGUGCGUAAUGUCUGGGAAACUGUCUGAUGGAGGGGGAUAACUACUGGAAACGGUAGCUAAUACCGCAUACCAUCAGAUGUGCCCAGAUGGGAUUAGCUAGUUGGUGGGGUAACGGCUCACCAAGGCGACGAUCCCUAGCUGGUCUGAGAGGAUGACCGGCAACACUGGAACUGGGAAAGGGUCCAGACUCCUACGGGGGGAAGAAGUGGGGAAGAUUGCACAAGGGGGGCAAGCCGGAGGCAGCAAUGCCGCGUGUAUGAAGAAGGCCUGCGGGUUGUAAAGUACUUUCAGCGGGGAGGCGUUACCCGCAGAAGAAGCACCGGCUAACUCCGUGCCAGCCGCCGCGGUAAUUC
rnacentral:rRNA from 1 species